GACGAACGCUGGCGGCGUGCUUAACACAUGCAAGUCGAACGGACAGGCUCUGCUCUUGCGGGGUGCUCGUGUGCCGCACGCGUGUGUAUCACGCGUGUAUCCUCCCCUUGACUUUCUGAUAUCUUCAGGGAACUCGGGCUCUUAUACUAUAUGAUCUCUUGCUCCACAUUGUGGGUUGGAGAGUUUCGGGGGUUGGGGAUGGACUCGCGGGUUACCCGCUUGUUGGUGGGGUAGUGGCUUACCAAGGCUUUGACGGGUAGCCGGCCUGAGAGGGUGACCGGCCACAUUGGGACUGAGAUACGGCCCAGACUCCUACGGGAGGCAGCAGUGGGGAAUAUUGCACAAUGGGCGGAAGCCUGAUGCAGCGACGCCGCGUGCGGGAUGACGGCCUUCGGGUUGUAAACCGCUGUCGCCUGGGACGAAGCGAGAGUGACGGUAAUGGGUAAAGAAGCACCGGCUAACUACGUG
rnacentral:rRNA from 1 species